CUUGCUUCUCUUGAGAGCGGCGGACGGGUGAGUAAUGCCUAGGAAUCUGCCUGGUAGUGGGGGAUAACGUCCGGAAACGGACGCUAAUACCGCAUACGUCCUACGGGAGAAAGCAGGGGACCUUCGGGCCUUGCGCUAUCAGAUGAGCCUAGGUCGGAUUAGCUAGUUGGUGGGGUAAUGGCUCACCAAGGCGACGAUCCGUAACUGGUCUGAGAGGAUGAUCAGUCACACUGGAACUGAGACACGGUCCAGACUCCUACGGGAGGCAGCAGUGGGGAAUAUUGGACAAUGGGCGAAAGCCUGAUCCAGCCGUGCCGCGUGUGUGAAGAAGGUCUUCGGAUUGUAAAGCACUUUAAGUUGGGAGGAAGGGCAGUAAAUUAAUACUUUGCUGUUUUGACGUUACCGACAGAAUAAGCACCGGCUAACUCUGUGCCAGCAGCCGCGGUAAUACAGAGGGUGCAAGCGUUAAUCGGAAUUACUGGGCGUAAAGCGCGCGUAGGUGGUUCGUUAAGUUGGAUGUGAAAUCCCCGGGCUCAACCUGGGAACUGCAUUCAAAACUGACGAGCUAGAGUAUGGUAGAGGGUGGUGGAAUUUCCUGUGUAGCGGUGAAAUGCGUAGAUAUAGGAAGGAACACCAGUGGCGAAAGCGACCACCUGGACUGAUACUGACACUGAGGUGCGAAAGCGUGGGGAGCAAACAGAUUAGAUACCCUGGUAGUCCACGCCGUAAACGAUGUCAACUAGCCGUUGGGAGCCUUGAGCUCUUAUGGCGCAGCUAACGCAUU
rnacentral:rRNA from 1 species